AAGAAAUGCAUGUAUUUCAAUGCAAUUUGGCUUUACGUUUGAGGUCUAUACACUAUCACGCUCAUCGAAAACGCUCUUAAGAGUGGAGAGAUAUAAAACACAACCCCGUAGACCCAUGUAAGCAACAAUAUGCGCUAUUUAAGCCCUGAUAAAGCGAGAAUGACAGUUACUGAGAGUUGUUCAGUUACGCAUUGUUGCGGACGAC